ensembl:lncRNA
UGUGGAUGUGGCACUGAGGGACACGUGAUUUUUGAGGAGAGAACGAGGGCCAUUGAUUCUAGUUACAAGAACACUGGAUAAACCAGGCCUCCAUUUUCAGAAACGCUGUUCAAAACUUAACUUUAACACUGAUUCUAGGGAGAAAUCCAGCUACUUUGAACAUGCAACCUUGGGACCUCAGGUGGAUCACUAACAAGGUAACCUUUUGUGGUCUAACAAAGGAUGUGAACUUCCCCUGAAACCACAUUUUUAC